GCGCGUUCGAGUCGCUGGUGCACGACGGCGACCCGCGCUCGGCGAGCAUCAUCCUGAGCCCGUUCGGGUCGGGCGGCACGCCC
rnacentral:tRNA from 1 species